ACUAGUGUAGUUUACUAAAACACUUGAUUUCGACUCAAGAAACCUGAACAAAUCAGCAAUAGU
rnacentral:tRNA from 1 species